rnacentral:rRNA from 1 species
ACGGGUGAGUAACACGUGAGCAACCUGCCCUGGACUCUGGGAUAAGCGCUGGAAACGGCGUCUAAUACUGGAUAUGAGCUUCUACCGCAUGGUGGGGGUUGGAAAGAUUUUUUGGUCUGGGAUGGGCUCGCGGCCUAUCAGCUUGUUGGUGAGGUAAUGGCUCACCAAGGCGUCGACGGGUAGCCGGCCUGAGAGGGUGACCGGCCACACUGGGACUGAGACACGGCCCAGACUCCUACGGGAGGCAGCAGUGGGGAAUAUUGCACAAUGGGCGAAAGCCUGAUGCAGCAACGCCGCGUGAGGGAUGACGGCCUUCGGGUUGUAAACCUCUUUUAGCAGGGAAGAAGCGAAAGUGACGGUACCUGCAGAAAAAGCGCCGGCUAACUACGUGCCAGCAGCCGCGGUAAUACGUAGGGCGCAAGCGUUAUCCGGAAUUAUUGGGCGUAAAGAGCUCGUAGGCGGUUUGUCGCGUCUGCUGUGAAAUCCCGAGGCUCAACCUCGGGCCUGCAGUGGGUACGGGCAGACUAGAGUGCGGUAGGGGAGAUUGGAAUUCCUGGUGUAGCGGUGGAAUGCGCAGAUAUCAGGAGGAACACCGAUGGCGAAGGCAGAUCUCUGGGCCGUAACUGACGCUGAGGAGCGAAAGGGUGGGGAGCAAACAGGCUUAGAUACCCUGGUAGU